GGUGAACCUGCAGAAGGAUCA
rnacentral:rRNA from 3 species